rnacentral:rRNA from 1 species
UACGAAGGGGGCUAGCGUUGUUCGGAAUUACUGGGCGUAAAGCGCGCGCAGGCGGUCUCCCAAGUCAGUGGUGAAAGCCCGGAGCUCAACUCCGGAACUGCCAUUGAAACUGUAAGACUUGAGGAUGAGAGAGGUGAGUGGAAUUCCCAGUGUAGAGGUGAAAUUCGUAGAUAUUGGGAAGAACACCGGUGGCGAAGGCGGCUCACUGGCUCAUAUCUGACGCUCAGGCGCGACAGCGUGGGGAUCAAACAGG